CGAGCAUUUUCAGUUGCAGUACAGUUGUUUGUGCACAUUAGAAGUUGUAACAGGACCUGAUCGAGAAUUUCUUCAUAAAGCAGGAAAACAGGUAUUUUUUGAGCGCAAGUUAGAAUUCACACCUGACAAUGCAAACACAGUGAACAGUAUUGUAUAUAUACGUAAUAUCAGCUGUGGCAUCACCUCUCCUUGGUCUUCUGGUGGAUAAAGUUGGCAAGAAUAUACUCUUGAGUAUGAUUUUCAGUUCUGGUGUCCAUUGGCUGCCAUGCACUUCUUGCCUUCACUUUCAUCAAUCCAUAUAUUGCAAUGUGUAUCUUGGGUGUGGCAUAUUCAAUGCUUGCUAGAGCUCCGUGGCCAAUGGUUGCUCUCGUAAUUCCUGAAUAUCAACUGGGGACAGCAUAUGGCACGUAAAUAGUAUGCAGAAGUUGUGGUUUAUAGAUAAUUUCUGGUACUAAAAGACAUCUAAUUCAUUUAAUAAUUCCAAGUUGAGUUUUAAUGCCCCCCCCCCCCUUCACCCCCUCCUUCAUAGAAUGAAACUUUAUUCAUUAUGUUUCCUUCCCUGUCACUCUGUACUCUUCUACGUGCCUGUGUGUCACCCUGUUUUUAACCUUAUUUUCCCGCCAGAGUGCACCCUGGUCCUCUCCAGUUUUCCUGUGUUGUCGGGGGGCUCGUGAGGGGAUUCUCUGCUCGGUGAUCAGACAUGCAGUGUCUGCUCCAUUUUCGGACCAAAAUUGCUUUGGGGAGGCGGUUUUUAAAACGGCAGAGAACCGACAUGGGUUCCUGGGAUGCUUUGUGAUUUAGAGGCUUAUUGGUGUGCUGUUUGUGUUAAUAAUUAAUAAUAAAAAAAGAUUGUGGGCCAGUGUGUUUCAGCAUAAAGUGUGUUUGAAUUAAUUGGCUUCAAGAUGCAGAAAUUCGAAUGGUGUGUGAAGGGUUAAUAUCUUAACACUUUUUGGAACUGAAAUUAAAACUAAAGGCUUCAUGUAUAUUAAUGUUUUCUGGCAUAUGAUAGACUCUAAUUAUAGUUUAUCCGCACAAAAUGAAUUUAAUUUGUUCAUGAAAGCCUUCAUUAUGUGAAAUUGGGGAAAUACUGGACGAAGGCCUAAUUUGUUCUAAGACUACAUAGUAAGUUAACCUUAAAAAAUGUGGUAAUUUUUGACAAUUAAACAUUAUAAGAACUUGGUAAAUUGUUACAAUUAACAAACAUAGUAAAGAAUCGGUAAGUAAAGCAGACAAAUAUUACAGUAGAACAAUGCUUACCUUAGCUUAACACAGUAAGUAAUGGAAAUUGAGCACGAAACAAUCAUAAAUGGAUGUUUUUGAUUGGCUGAAUCUUGCUGAGUUCACUUAGAAGUGUUUUGUUUGGCUGAUAUUGACAACCACUUGACUUUGUAAGCAGUAUCAAUUUUAGACGCUUGUUAUAAUAAAUGUCGGUAAGCAUGUUUAGGCAAUAACACUUGCUGUCUGUGAACACCACUUCAAUAAGAAAAUGUCUUAAGCGAGUCUGACUAUAAUUGAUUCCACACAUUUAUUAUAUAUUAAUAAAGCAGUUUAAUCCCCUUUUCAUAGUUCCAUUUUAACUCAUCUUCCAGGUGAAGCCUUAUGAUACUGAACUAGCAGUGCAAGAUUUGUUUUGGUGCCACUUACAAUUUCUUAUUCAUGUGUGAAAAUGUUUAUCAGAAUGAUGUUAGUAUUGUUUGCAUCAUUUAACUUGGCAUCUGGCUGAAGGGUGGGAAGGAGGCUAGCAUGACAUGCUAUGUGCUUGCUGUGCUUCGUGCGGGCAUCAGAGUGACACUUAUGUGUCGUACGCGUAGUGUUUGAGGUUUGCACAUGCAACAUUUGAGGAAACAUCACCAUGUAGAAUGUUGACUGGCUAAUACCUGCAUUAGUCCUGCGCCGUAGCCGCGCGGUCUGAGGCAUCAUGCUUCGGACCGGCGAUAUGGUUGGAUGAUCGUUCACCUCUGCUUAAGCAUUUGAACUAAUAAUAAACAAGCAAAUUGAGUGGUUGGCAUUUGAAAACACAAUUUUCCAUAGUCAUCUCGUAAUUAUAUUGGUACGCCCCAAAUAUAGUCGAUUUGUUCAUAAUCUGUUGUCAUAUCAUGUUUUAUUUCCCAAUCUGUGCUGAGUAACCUCAAGCCAUUAUAUGUAAUAUUUUCAUUUGAAAUGUUGACACUCUAAGUGCUACGCUACAAAACAGCUCAUUAGACCAUCAAGUGUAUGUAGUAAUGUUAUAAUUAUCACAUCAUAUUGCCAAUUUUUAGUGGGAAAAUGAUUUGCCUCUUGGAAAGUAACAGCAGCAGAGAUAUGAGGAUAUAUUAAAAUGGAGCUUUAGGAAGUAGGUUUUUGUAAUGUGUACAGAUGUAACUGUAUGAAUCACAUUCAGUGGUGAUAUUUUAUGUUAGCGGUAUUGGGUUUUAACAGGACAGAGGGAGAAAGGAUUGAAUGAGUUGGUUUUUUUGGGAUAUAAUACCAUAUCUUCUGUAUGUAUGAGUAAAAAAGUUGUAAUAGGACCUUGAAAUUGUGUAUUUAGAUUUUAUGGUGUAAUUUUCUAGGUGUGUCUCAAAUUUUCAUUAAUAUUCAUUAUAGCAGUUUCAUAUAAGUAUUUGAACUUCUUAGGAAUUUGUUGUGGGAUGCCACUGCCUGUGUUUGUAAGUAUGAAUGCUUUGCUGAUUACCUUUAAUAUUUAAAUAUUUUAUUCAAGGAAGUAAAACCACCCAUCAUUCUUAGUUGAGAGUCACAGUAAUCAGAUACCUGUGAUUGCUAGCAUUUCCUCAUUCAGAAAGUUUACAAAUGGAUGGACUAUUUGGUGUGACUUUUCUUAUAGUCACUUUGAUGGUUGGGAGCUGGAAGGACUGCUGUGACAUUUAAACAGAUAUUAUACUCCUUAAAUCUGAUGUUGAUAACUACUAUUGCAUUGUCAAUGUAUUGAAUUAGCAUUGUAUGAAGUUCAAAGCAAUAUAGUGUUGUCCUUUUGA